CCCCUCUCAGAGUCGCACCUGGAGAGCUUCCAGUACUCUACCAGUCUCGGUUACGGGAGGGAGAGUCGAGCAGAGGCAUACUCAUUCCAUUCCUAGCUUGGCCAGUGGCUAGCGAGCGGAAGGCAAUCUGCUACAAGG